GAUGAACGCUGGCGGCGUGCCUAAUACAUGCAAGUCGAGCGAACAGACGAGGAGCUUGCUCCUCUGACGUUAGCGGCGGACGUGUGAGUAACACGUGGAUAACCUACCUAUAAGACUGGGAUAACUUCGGGAAACCGGAGCUAAUACCGGAUAAUAUAUUGAACCGCAUGGUUCAAUAGUGAAAGACGGUUUUGCUGUCACGUAUAGAUGGAUCCGCGCCGCAUUAGCUAGUUGGUAAGGUAACGGCUUACCAAGGCGACGAUGCGUAGCCGACCUGAGAGGGUGAUCGGCCACACUGGAACUGAGACACGGUCCAGACUCCUACGGGAGGCAGCAGUAGGGAAUCUUCCGCAAUGGGCGAAAGCCUGACGGAGCAACGCCGCGUGAGUGAUGAAGGUCUUCGGAUCGUAAAACUCUGUUAUUAGGGAAGAACAAAUGUGUAAGUAACUAUGCACGUCUUGACGGUACCUAAUCAGAAAGCCACGGCUAACUACGUG
rnacentral:rRNA from 1 species